rnacentral:lncRNA from 1 species
CUGCUCUCUGCUCUGCAGUCACCACGUUUCUUCCAGACAGGCCUGUGCACACUCCCUCUCCCUACCCUUUACUAAUAAAACUCUUUUUGUUUUGUUUUUUUUUUCGAGACAGGGCUUCUCUGUGGCUUUGGAGGCUGUCCUGGACUAGCUCUUGUAGACCAGGCUGGUCUCAAACUCACAGAGAUCCUCUGCCUCUGCCUCCCGAGUACUGGGGUUAAAGGUGUGUGCCACCCUGCCCCACCCCCCCUCCCGCCACUAAUAAAACUCUUCAGUGGGUUUUGUUGUGUAUCUUGUGGUCUGUUCUCGAGCACCGUACAUAGCAACUUGCUAUCCCCUUUGAUGUUUCCCAUCCCAGUUCACAGGACCCUCUUCCCCCAGAUAGCCAUUCUCUUUAUAAUUCUCGAAAAUAUCCUCCCUCUCACCUUUCUCUGCUUUCUCCGAGAGACAGCCUUGGCUAUUUGGAAUACACUUUUUCUUUUCUACCCACAGGGCAGCCAGUUUGGUCUCUAUCACGUAGAUGCUGGGGAUCAAACUCAGCUGUUAGGCUUGGUGACGAGCAAACACCUUUGCCCACUCUGAAGCUGGUCUUGAACUUCUGGACUCAAAGAGAUCAUCCUACCUCAGCUUUGCUGUCAGGUUAGAGUUCAGGGGCAUUUGUACCUAGUUCAUUUAAACUAAUCAUUUAUUUAUCUGAAUUUUUAAUUUCUUUUGUUUGUUUUGUUUUUUUGAGACAGGGUUUCUCUGUGUAACAAUUCUGAAACUAGAUUUGUAGACUAGGCUGUCCUCCAACUCACAGAGAUCUGCCUGCCUCUGUCUCCCAAGUACUGGUAUUAAAGACAUGUGAAAACACUUCCUGGCUUUAAUUAUUAUUUUUUUUAAAAUUAGCUUCUCCCAGGCAGCUAAAAGAAGGCAAGUGAAGUUUUCUUUUUUCUUUUGAUACAGGGUCUCAUGCAGCCCAGCUGGUCUCAAAAUCACUAUGUGUCCAAGUAUAGCCUUGAACUUGUGAUUCUCUUGCCUCUGUCUUCCCAAGUGUUCUUAACACAGGCCUGCACUACCACCUGUUUUAUGUGGCGCUGGAGGCCGGACCCAGGGUUUCAUGAAUCCUGGACAAGCUGUACUCCCUGCCCGCCAGUAUUCUUUUCAAUAUUCUGCUAAGAAAUCUCCUUUUCUGGAUCACCAAGAAUGUUAGGCCCGGGGAUGUGGCUCAGCCUUAGAGUGCUGGUAUGCUCGACUCCUAGAUUCAACAGAUGAAAUUCCACAGGAAAAGCAAUCGACCACACCCCUCCCCACUGUUACUUCUGGCUGAAACUUGCAGCUGUAAAUACUUUGUCCCAUUGAAGUAUUUAUGUUCCAUAAUCCUGGAAUGUCUUACUUCCAGAAUUGGGAGCCACACCUUUGAAAAUGUUAUCAUCAAAAGGUAAAGCCCUUGUUUGCUUCUCCCUGAGGAAGGGUGGGAGCAUCUGUGUAAGGACUUGAAAAGCCAGAUGUAGUUCAGACCUGUGAUCCCAGAAUUUAGGAGGCAGAGGCAGGAGGAUCAGGAGUUCAAGGGCAUGCCCAGUUACAUACCAAGUUCAAGACCUACAGAAAAGCUGGCACCAAAACAAAUAUACAACCCCAAAACAGGCAAAACAAAAUCUAACAAAAAGGGCACAGAUGAUAUGGCCACACCCUUUAACUUCAGUCCUGGGGCUAGAGAGAUGACUCUUGUGUAGAACCUGGGUGUGGUUCCCAGUACCUACAUAGUAGUUUACAACCACCCAGGGGAUCUGAUGACCUCUUCUGGACUCUGAGGGUACGGGACUCUGCACAUGGGACAUAUACAUACAGGCAAAACACAUACACACAUAAAAUAAAAUAAAUACAUCUUUAAAAACAAAUGAAAAGAAAAGAACUUUAAUACAUGGUUUUCUGGGUAGGACGGGCUCAGGCGUGUGCUUCCAGUGCCCAUUGUCUCAUGAAGAGUCUCUCAGCACUGGAGAUGAAUAAGCAGGGAACCGAGAUCUUGACGCUACUAGAAACUCCCUUAAUUCCUGUUCUCAGGGUCCUGUGAGGUGACAGUUCAGCUCCUCUGCAUCUCAGGUUUAAAGAUAAAGACUCCAGUGGGAAGGGCAGGAAGUGCAAAGCCUUUUCUGAAGGGCCCAGACCCUCAUCCAGCCCUGCCUUGGCAUCCAUGACAGGCUGCUGAAAAGACCCAGCAAGAUGUAGGCCCCUCACUCAGCAGCAUGUGCUGAGCCCCCGACCUUGCUCUAAUCACUAGGAAGCAACUGCCAGGAACCAAUCAGAAGUUAGCUGGUGGGCUCUGGAUGUGCUUUACUGAUAACAGUGGAAUUCAGGGUGUAGCAACUGCCCUGGGAGGGCCUCUAGGCAUGGCAACCUGUCUGUAGCCACAGCUGACCAAUCAACUCAGUACAGGUUGCACCAAUCCUGAGACUGUUGUUAUGCAACUAACAGACACCCCCCCCAGACACUCCCCUUGCUCUACCCCAAUAUAUGCCCUGCCCAACUGCUGCUUGGGGUCCCUCCCACUCCACUUGCUAUGAGGAUGGACAGAGGACCCCUUGGGAUCUGUUCUCUUGGUGGUUUUGGGGGUUCAGAGUCUGGGCACAUUUCCAGUCCAGCCUUGAAAGUCAGACAUCACUACAUACCCUGAAUUGAAUGUUGCCUGUUGACCAGUGAGCCAGAAAUUAACCCAGAAGAAGGGAGAAGAAAGAAUCCCAGCCUAUGUAAUCAUGGGAUGUGUGUCAAGGCCACACUGAAAUAGAGAGAGAACCCACAGAAAGAAGAUGAUGUGACCAUCUUGAAAAAGCACAACAGGACACAGUCACCUGUAUUCCAAGCAUUCAGAUGUAACAUGUUAAACAGAGACAUUUCUAUCCCCAAAUAGACAUCCUUCUUUGCCUUCUUGUUUUCCAGAACAUUCAAUUCUUUAGAAAUCUGUGCUUUUGUGAAUCUUUUUUUCCAAAUUCAUGCUCUGGGCAACUGUUGACUGCCAAACCGUCUUCAUUGUUUGCUCUAGCACUGAACCCCAGGGACAGCAGCCUCCUGGGAUUUUUAUAUUUGCUAUUUCAAAAAUAAAGCCAUAAAACUGGUAAUGAGAUAUGAAAAUUAAUAACAUUAAUCUUUCUGUCUUUGAAAGUAAUUACAUAGUCACUGCACAGAGUUGAGAAAACAGAGAUUAAAUA